UACGGAGGGGGCUAGCGUUGUUCGGAAUUACUGGGCGUAAAGCGCACGUAGGCGGCUUUGUAAGUUAGAGGUGAAAGCCCGGGGCUCAACUCCGGAAUUGCCUUUAAGACUGCAUCGCUAGAAUUGUGGAGAGGUAAGUGGAAUUCCGAGUGUAGAGGUGAAAUUCGUAGAUAUUAGGAGGAACACCAGAGGCGAAGGCGGCUUUCUGGCUCGCAACUGACGCUGAGGGCGGCGAAAAGCGUGGGGAGCAAACAGGG
rnacentral:rRNA from 1 species